CACCGAAGCUAGGGAUUCAUAUAUUUUGUAUGGAUGGUAGGAGAGCGUUCCGUAGGCCUGUGAAGAUAAUUUGUGAAAAUUGUUGGAGGUAUCGGAAGUGCGAAUGCUGACAUGAGUAGCGAUAAAGGAAGUGAAAAACUUCCUCGCCGAAAACCCAAGGUUUCCUGCGCAACGUUAAUCGGAGCAGGGUGAGUCGGCCCCUAAGGCGAGGCUAAUUGCGUAGCUGAUGGGAAACUGGUUAAAAUUCCAGUACCUUUAUUUAAUGCGAUGUGGGGACGAAGAAGGUUAGCUCAGCCAGGUGUUGGAUGUCCUGGUUAAAGCGUGUAGAUAUGCUAUUUAGGUAAAUCCGGAUAGAUAAAUUGAGGCGUGAUAACGAAGCACAGUUAUCUGUGUUAAGUGAGUAAUACCAAGCUUCCAAGAAAAGCCACUAAGCUUCAGUUAAAUAAAAGACCGUACCGUAAACCGACACAGGUGGUAGGAUGAGAAUUCUAAGGCGCUUGAGAGAACUCAGGAGAAGGAACUCGGCAAAAUUGACACCGUAAACUU
rnacentral:rRNA from 1 species